rnacentral:rRNA from 1 species
GAAGCAAAGCCGCGAGGUAGAGCAAAUCUCAAAAAAACAUCUCAGUUCAGACUGCAGGCUGCAACUCGCCUGCACGAAGUCGGAAUUGCUAGUAAUCGUAGGUCAGCAUACUACGGUGAAUACGUUCCCGGGCCUUGUACACACCGCCCGUCAAACCAUGAGAGUUGGCAACACCCGAAGUCGGUAGUCUAACCGCAAGGAGGACGCCGCCGAAGGUGGGGUUGAUGAUUAGGGUUAAGUCGUAACAAGGUAGC